GGGUGUAUAGCUCAGUUGUAGAGAAUUCGACUGCAGACCGAGAGGUCCGUUGUUCAACUCCGCGUGCCCUCU
rfam:Angiostrongylus costaricensis strain Costa Rica genome assembly, scaffold: ACOC_scaffold0000814